rnacentral:rRNA from 1 species
AUUGAACGCUGGCGGCAGGCCUAACACAUGCAAGUCGAACGAGUGGCGGACGGGUGAGUAAUGUCUGGGAAACUGUCCGAUGGAGGGGGAUAACUACUGGAUACGGUAGCUAAUACCGCAUACCAUCGGAUGUGCCCAGAUGGGGUUAGCUAGUGGGUGGGGUAACGGAUCACCUAGGCGACGAUCCCUAGCUUGUCUGAGAGGAUGACCGGCAACACUGGAACUGAGAGACGGUCCAGACUCCUGCGGGAGGCAGCAGUAGGAAGUAUUGCACAGUUGGCGCAGGCCUGAUGCAGCCAUGCCGCGUGUAUGAAGAAGGCCUUAGGGUUGUAAAGGACUUUAUGCAGGGAGGCGUUACCCGCAGAAGAAGCACCGGCUAACUCCGUGCCAGCAGCCGCGGUAAUUC